GUCCUACGGGAGGCAGCAGUCGGGAAUAUUGCGCAAUGGAGGAAACUCUGACGCAGUGACGCCGCGUAUAGGAAGAAGGUUUUCGGAUUGUAAACUAUUGUCGUUAGGGAAGAUAAAAGACUGUACCUAAGGAGGAAGCCCCGGCUAACUAUGUGCCAGCAGCCGCGGUAAUACAUAGGGGGCAAGCGUUAUCCGGAAUUAUUGGGCGUAAAGGGUGCGUAGGUGGUUUCUUAAGUCAGAGGUGAAAGGCUACGGCUCAACCGUAGUAAGCCUUUGAAACUGGGGAACUUGAGUGCAGGAGAGGG
rnacentral:rRNA from 1 species